rnacentral:rRNA from 1 species
UACGUAGGCAGCGAGCGUUGUUCGGAGUUACUGGGCGUAAAGAGUGCGUAGGCGGUUUUCUAAGUUUGGUGUGAAAUCUCCCGGAUUAACUGGGAGGGUGCGCCGAAAACUGGAAGGCUUGAGUAUGGGAGAGGUAAGCGGAAUUCCUGGUGUAGCGGUGAAAUGCGUAGAUAUCAGGAGGAACACCUGCGGUGUAGACGGCUUACUGGACCAUAACUGACGCUGAGGCACGAAAGCGUGGGUAGCAAACAGG